GACUUAGCUUCCGGGGUGGAACAGAAGCUCUGGGGACUCUCUAGGAAGUCUGGAGGUGUCAAGGUCUCGUUGGUUCUUUGGUUUGCCUACCUGGUAUCCAUCUCUGGCUCCCGGGGCAUCUCAUCAUGGUUAAGGGAGCAAGGUGUCUGGAGGGGUGAGACAGGAAUGGCAAAAGGAAGUAAAGGAUAGAAAUCUAGGUUGGUGAAUCAUGAAUUGUCCAGUGUGGGAGAAGGCUGAGAUACUUUGAGACCUAGUCCCAAGGAAACCACCAUCAGAGGGAAAGGAGUCAGAAUGUGAACAACAGGAAAAAAUAAGAAAGAAAAAAACUGAAACUGCCAAAGUUCUCAGGAAGAAGAAAACGCAAAGACCUGGAGCAUAAUGAAUUAACAGAAUGGUGUCCUUUCCAUGUUUCCCAUGUCAGUACUUCCCAUGAUACCUGACCUACAGAGCCACUGAAACUGCAUUAGAUGCCUGUAUUUAUCCUGCCUGGUAUACCUAGAUAAGAAUCAUUGAUUGCUACUUCUUCUUGACCACUGGCAGAUGGGGAGCAGGUGGCCACAUGACUUGCCCAAUAGAAAGAAGAUAAAGGAAAACCUCAUCUUUUCAAAGGAGAAGACCUUCGAAAUUACAGUUGUCUGACUUCCAGGAAGAUGAGUUGACCUACCCCACCUCUGGGGGAAUUUUGGGCAAUCUGGCUUUUUUUGCAGGAAGUAUAAAUACAUGUCUGCUGAAAAGUUCAGUGUCUGCAGACCUGCCUCUGUGAUGUUCACAUUCAUAAUAAAGUUGGUCUUGCUUAGAAGAUCA